rnacentral:rRNA from 1 species
UACGUAGGGGGCAAGCGUUGUCCGGAAUCAUUGGGCGUAAAGCGCGUGUAGGCGGCCCGGUAAGUCCGCUGUGAAAGUCGGGGGCUCAACCCUCGAAUGCCGGUGGAUACUGUCGGGCUAGAGUGCGGAAGAGGCGAGUGGAAUUUACGGUGUAGCGGUGAAAUGCGUAGAUAUCGUAAGGAAGACCAGUGGCGAAGGCGGGUCUCUGGACAGUUCCUGACGCUGAGGCGCGAGAGCGCGGGGAGCGAACGGG